rnacentral:misc_RNA from 1 species
GAUGAAGAACGUAGCGAAAUGCGAUACUUGGUGUGAAUUGCAGAAUCCCGUGAACCAUCGAGUCUUUGAACGCAAGUUGCGCCUCAAGCCAUUAGGUUGAGGCACGUCUGCCUGGGCGUCACAUAUCGUUGCCUGAUGCCAGUUUCCUCGUGAUGGGUGACUGUGCAGGGCGAAUGAUGGCUUCCCGUGAGCAUUGUUGCCUCAUGGUUGGUUGAAAAUUGAGUCCUUGGUAGGGAGCGCCGUGAUAGAUGGUGGUUGAGUGACGAACGAGACCCAAUCAUGUGAGACCCCUACCGAAUUUGGCCUUCAUGACCCACAUGCGUCUUUGGAACGCUCAUGACGAGACCUCAGGUCAGGCGGGGCUACCCGCUGAGUUUAAGCAUAUCAAUAGCGGAGGA